rnacentral:other from 1 species
UUAUCUGGAGCGCUCGCCAUUUCAUGAAAUUCCCCGAGCCGAUAUCAAUACCCUAGGGAAGGCAAUCUGUUUGGUCGGUGCGCAUACCCACCCUGAGUGGGCAGCCUAAGAUCAGGCGUGUUUUCCCGCCUUGAACGUAACGGUUCAAGGGUCUUCUUGAUUAGCGGCGCUCUGGAGCU